AUAUUGGCGGGCACACAACCCAGUUCGAGAUGAGUGUCUUGGGCUAUAGGAAAAAGAAACCACACAGAGACCAAGUUGCAGAUAAGAAUUCACACCACACUUUAUUUUCCACAAGGGGACCCAAUACAGAGUAAGCUUAACUCUCUUUAAGUAGUUGCAUGCAUUCACUUCAAAACAGCUUAGUAUCUAGAUAUAUCAGCUUAAGUAUACAUCACCGUUAGAGGGGCUUGUGUCCUCUGCACUUGACUCGGGGAGAACUCUGGCAGUCGGCUUGGAGGGAUCCUCUCUGGGAACAGCAGAGACCAGCAACACGCGUCCGCAUUACAGGUGGGUAGUUCUCCAAGUGAGUGCCAAGUUUCUCCGUCUUUUAUACUUUUUAUCAAGUUUGUAACUUUUCCAAGAUUUCUUAUCAGUGUAGCCCAGCAUGUAUCUUGUCAUGCGCAUUAAGUAAUCAGUAUGGUUGAUCAGGCCAGUCGUGACCACCCAAGGCUCAUGCCAGACACGUGCGGUAUCUUAUUCUAUCUAUGUCCCUACUCUUCUCUUUCUAUACAUUUGUUGGCACCAAUUCCCUCUGUUCAGCACGUGGGCCUUUUUGGAUAUUGGCCAGACAUGCUAUGGAAUAUUCCAGGCAAUGUUGAAUUUCUUAGUCCGACACAGUUUAAGCAUUUUAUGCAAUGUCAUCAUAGCUGAAUUUCUUAGUGCGACAUAGUUUAAGCCAAGUGCCAUCUUAACUAUCUAUAAUAGAUUAAUUUGCUCAUUAGUGAUCAAUCAUUCUUAAUUAGUUAAUUUGAUUUUAUCACAAUUAUCACAUUCCAUCCCUUGAUCACUAAGUGAGCAAAACCUCACACAUUUACGCAUGCCAUUCAGGUUAUCAGCAGGGGGCAAGCCCAUUUUCCCACUGAUCCCCAUAUUGUUCCAUUCACACCUGGAACCAAUUCAUGCAAUAAAGCUCUUCGAGUCGAGGGUCACCCGUAGGACAUGCCUCUUCCCGCUUAACAUCCUUAAUCUUAAGGGCAUCUGAUCUAUCUAUAAAAAACAUUUCUUACUCUUCUAAUUCUAUCCUGGCAUUUGUCUUACAUGUAGCUACUCUUUGAAUGCAGCAAAUGGAAAGUUUGUAGCAUAGGUAAAUACAAAGUAUAAUAAAAACACACCACACAAUUCCCUUUAAUAUUUUUAUCCCAAGUCCUCCUAUCCAUGAUCCUAUACCAAAUGUCCAGUCAAAAUCUUGUGUAGUAUUAGCUAGCCAGUGUUCCAAGUCGUCUGUGGUUAGUGGUUUUCUAAAGCGUUUUUGUAUCUCUUCUAAAUGCUGAAGCUCAUGCUUAACUUUCCCUGAUUUAUCUUCUAUCCACACACAACAUGCCUUGCCUCCUAUUCUUUUGCAUACUCCUCCUUCUGCUGCAAGCAAGUAAUCUAAGGCUAUUCUGUUCUGCAAAGCUACCUGUCUAAUCUGUUCUUGCUCAUAAUUAACCAAACUGAUGGCAAGUCCUGUGCUAUUA